GUAUUACGUUGCGUUAAACGCGGCAUACAUUCCAUAGAACUUUAUUACAGUGUGUAUGUAUAAAUAUGCAGAACCACGGUUGGAGGACAGAGCCCCCGGACCAUAGAACUGCAGAGAGUGCACAGGUGUGAGUGGAUGUGUAAACAGAGCGUGCACAUGCCCCCAUCUGAGGGCCAGCAACAACUUCAUGUCGACAAUUCAGUAAUGAUCCUUCCGCAGGUUCACCUACGGAAA
rnacentral:misc_RNA from 1 species